rnacentral:rRNA from 1 species
GGUUUGGGAGUUGUUUAAUUUGGGGGUUUUUUUUUUCUUUUUGGUGGCCUGGGAGGGAUCAUUACCGAGUUUACAACUCCCAAACCCAAUGUGAACGUUACCAAACUGUUGCCUCGGCGGGAUCUCUGCCCCGGGUGCGUCGCAGCCCCGGACCAAGGCGCCCGCCGGAGGACCAACCAAAACUCUUAUUGUAUACCCCCUCGCGGGUUUUUUACUAUCUGAGCCAUCUCGGCGCCCCUCGUGGGCGUUUCGAAAAUGAAUCAAAACUUUCAACAACGGAUCUCUUGGUUCUGGCAUCGAUGAAGAACGCAGCGAAAUGCGAUAAGUAAUGUGAAUUGCAGAAUUCAGUGAAUCAUCGAAUCUUUGAACGCACAUUGCGCCCGCCAGUAUUCUGGCGGGCAUGCCUGUCCGAGCGUCAUUUCAACCCUCGAACCCCUCCGGGGGGUCGGCGUUGGGGAUCGGCCCUUUACGGGGCCGGCCCCGAAAUACAGUGGCGGUCUCGCCGCAGCCUCUCCUGCGCAGUAGUUUGCACACUCGCAUCGGGAGCGCGGCGCGUCCACAGCCGUUAAACACCCCAAACUUCUGAAAUGUGACCUCGGAUCAGUAGGAACCCCCAUUC